GACGAACGCUGGCGGCGUGCCUAAUACAUGCAAGUCGAGCGCAGGAAACCGUCUGAACCCUUCGGGGGGACGACGGCGGAAUGAGCGGCGGACGGGUGAGUAACACGUAAAGAACCUGCCCACGGGUCUGGGAUAACCACGAGAAAUCGGGGCUAAUACCGGACGGGUCAUCGGACCGCAUGGUCCGAGGAUGAAAGGCGCUCCGGCGUCGCCCGUGGAUGGCUUUGCGGUGCAUUAGCUAGUGGGUGGGGUAACGGCCCACCAAGGCGACGAUGCAUAGCCGACCUGAGAGGGUGAUCGGCCACACUGGGACUGAGACACGGCCCAGACUCCUACGGGAGGCAGCAGUAGGGAAUCUUCCACAAUGGACGAAAGUCUGAUGGAGCAACGCCGCGUGAACGAUGAAGGCCCUCGGGUCGUAAAGUUCUGUUGUAAGGGAAGAACAAGUGCCGCAGGCAAUGGCGGCACCUUGACGGUACCUUGCGAGAAAGCCACGGCUAACUACGUGCCAGCAGCCGCCGUAA
rnacentral:rRNA from 1 species